rnacentral:snoRNA from 2 species
AUAGGAGCGGUGAUGAGCAAUCUUUUGUGGACUAGAGUUUCUGAUACUACCACGGUAGUAUUUGACGACCAAACCCUUGGCUGUCUGAGCUCCCAA